rnacentral:lncRNA from 1 species
AAUCUUGGAGUUAAUCCUACAACAAGAUAUAUUGCAAUUCAUUAUUAUUUCAUAAAAGAAAAAUCAAACCUGGAUAAAUCAAUCUUCAAUAGGUGCCAACUAUGGAGCAAGUAGCUGAUAUAUUUACAAAGCCACUUGGGCAGACUUUAUUUGAAAAAUUUAGUGAGAGACUAAUUGUAAUCAAUACCUUUAGUCGUACUAGAUGAAAAAAGAAAAAGAAAAAGAAAAAAAAUGCUACUAGUCCAUACAUAUCAGCUUAAAAUAUAAUUCUCAACAUCUAACCUAUUUCGAAAUGCCUUAAAUUUCGUCCCUCUCAAACCCUUAACUUCAAUUUCACAAGCUAUCCAAGAAUCAUAAACUCUAGGGUGAAAUCCACACUUCACCGCAUAGUACAUACUGCUGUGAGGUACCAAACACUUCUCAGAUACUCCACUGGCACUGGAGGUACAGUGAAGGAAAUGGUGCACCCGUAAGAUGAGCAGGGAUCAAAGAAUUAGCAGAAAGCUCAAAUGAGUCCACAGAAGAAACUUUCUCAACUCCGUCACGACCAAGAUCAUAAGUCGGAGCAGUAAAAAGCCGGCUCUCCAACUUUCACAACAACCACUCGCAGACACUUGCUACGAACGAGAGCAAAGCCCAAAUGACAACCCAGAAGGUUCUAAUUUGCAAGAUCAAAGUAACCUAUCAUCAGAAGAAAUACAAAACAAAAAAAAGGGAAAUGACGAAAAAUGACAACUGAAUUCACCGGCGCAUCUCGACAGUUCUCCAGUCUUUGCGCCAUUGCACUAUAUCGCCAAUUCUUUGCCAACGAAUUGCAGAUUUUUUCUCCUAAUGUAGGAAACCCUUGAGAAGCUUAGAAACAGAGUAAUAGAACUAGAGUAAUAGAGAAUAGAAUCUCGGAGGCGAGGGAGGGUGUUAGACAUGCUGGACAUACAGAACAUUACGCCUCCCUUUGUUGAUACCACCAAAACCUAAACAUCAAUAGUUCGGAAGGAGCAUAGUCCUCGACUAGGAUAUCUAUCCAUCCAGGGUAAAUCUAAUGUACUUAACCUUGGCUUAACUAAUCUAUCAUCAGUCGGCUUAUCACCUGUAGUGGGGUGAUCUCUGGAGUCUCUGUUUGAAUUAUGGUGUACAGUGUCG